UUUGAAACAGACAAUGAGAUGCAGAAGGGCACUGGGCUCCUGUCUUUCCAGGGCAAGGACAAGUCGGGCUCAGCUGUGUGCAACUUGUUCACUAAAGGGCUCUGUGAGAAACGGAAACUGCCCCUUCUGGCAUGACCAAGGGAAGAUGAUGGUGGUGUGUAAGCACCGGCUCUGGGGGCUGUGCAAGAAGGGCGACCACUGCAAGUUCCUGCACCGGUUGACCUCCUGCGAUGCCCGAAUGCUACUUCUACUCCACGUGUAAAUAUCGCCAUGUCCCCAGAAUAAUGUGUCUCAACUAUUUCGUGGCUUCUGCCCUGAGGGACCCAAGUGCCAAUU
rnacentral:lncRNA from 1 species